rnacentral:rRNA from 1 species
UCAUGGCUCAGGACGAGCGCUGGCGGCGUGCCUAACACAUGCAAGUCGAACGAGGUCCAUCCUUCGGGAGAAGACCUAGUGGCGAACGGGUGAGUAACACGUGAAGAACCUGCCCCGAAGACCGGGAUAACCCUCCGAAAGGAGAGCUAAUACCGGAUACCCCCACCGAACCGCAUGGUUUGGUGAGGAAAUGGAUUCCGCUUCGGGAGGGCUUCGCGGCCUAUCAGCUAGUUGGUGGGGUAACGGCCCACCAAGGCAUCGACGGGUAGCUGGUCUGAGAGGACGAUCAGCCACACUGGGACUGAGACACGGCCCAGACUCCUACGGGAGGCAGCAGUGGGGAAUCUUGCGCAAUGGGCGAAAGCCUGACGCAGCAACGCCGCGUGGGGAUGAAGGCUCUCGGGUUGUAAACCCCUUUCAGCAGGGACGAAUCAAGACGGUACCUGCAGAAGAAGCCCCGGCUAACUACGUG